CUUGACCGGGGUAGUGGGAACUCUUGCGCCCGUAGUGAUGUUUUGUUUGUUCCGCUUGAUGGUUCUAAGCUUUGGAAGAAGAGAAAUGAGGCCAUAGAACGUGCUCGUAGAGAGGUCGAACAGCGAGCGAGAGACCUGCGAGAGAAAGAGCGGGAACGAGAUAGAGAAAAGGAGAGAGAGAGAGACCUGGACAGACAUCUUCAGCAGAAGGACAGUUGCACAAGUGCAGGAUUAGGAGCUACAGCCACACGCCAGGGCUCUUCGCUUUUCUUUCCUUCUUCGUCCUCCAUCCUUCUAGACCCUUCAUCAUCUUCCUCAUCCUCUGUGAACCCCUCGCACCCAGCAGCCCAUCCACAGUACCACCCUGCCCACCAUGCCUCACACUCCCACUCCAUUCACUCCUCUCAUCCUCUGCAUCACUCUCUCUCUCAUUCCAUUCCUCAUUCUCUUCUCCUUCCUUCCAUGGCAGGGGGCUCUCCAGUUGUUGGAGGCCCUCAUGGUGCUCUUGGCAUAGGGCUUGGGGGUCCAUACUUGGGGCCUGAUACUCCAGCCCUCAGAACCCUGAGUGAGUAUGCCCGACCUCACGCCAUGUCUCCAUUGGGUGCUGCCAGCCGUGCACAGCUACACCUUCCCCACCUUCACCACCACCCUCACCCGCAUGCACACGCACAUGCUAACGCUCAUCCCCAUGUGCAUCCUUCAUUUUUCCUGUCCCAAUUCCAAAACCCAGCUCUCGCACACCCCCACCACCUUCCAGCCGACGCUGCCACGGCUGCUGCCAUUCUGGGCUU
rnacentral:lncRNA from 1 species